AGAGUUUGAUCCUGGCUCAGGACGAACGCUGGCGGCGUACUUAACACAUGCAAGUCGAACGUGAUUUUUGUGGAAAGCCCUUCGGGGACGGAAAUGAAAUGAAAGUGGCGAACGGGUGAGUAACACGUGAGCAACCUACCUUACACAGGGGGAUAGCCGUUGGAAACGACGAUUAAUACCGCAUGAGACCACAAAGCCACAUGGCUUAGGGGUAAAAGAUUUAUCGGUGUAAGAUGGGCUCGCGUCUGAUUAGCUAGUUGGAAGGGUAAAGGCCUACCAAGGCGACGAUCAGUAGCCGGUCUGAGAGGAUGAACGGCCACAUUGGAACUGAGACACGGUCCAAACUCCUACGGGAGGCAGCAGUGGGGAAUAUUGCACAAUGGGGGGAACCCUGAUGCAGCGACGCCGCGUGAGCGAAGAAGGUUUUCGAAUCGUAAAGCUCUGUCCUAUGAGAAGAUAAUGACGGUAUCAUAGGAGGAAGCCCCGGCUAAAUACGUGCCAGCAGCCGCGGU
rnacentral:rRNA from 1 species